UUUCCGUAGGUGAACCUGCGGAAGGAUCAUUAAAAGUAGAUGGUUAUUCCUUCAGGAAUUAACAUUACAAACCCACUCUGUGUACUUCACCUGUUGCUUCCGCAGAGCAUGGCUUUGUACCAUACGGUGGGGCUUGUUCAGGACUUCACCGGUCGUCUCUGUGAAAGGUAUACAACAAAAUAGCCUUUUUAUUACUGUCUGUCUGAAUGAUUCUAUAUAAAUAGAUAAAAACUUUCAACAACGGAUCUCUUGGUUCUC
rnacentral:misc_RNA from 1 species